rnacentral:rRNA from 1 species
AGAGAGAGACAUGCGCGCAUAUCAAUAAGCGGAGGAAAAGAAACUAACAAGGAUUCCCCUAGUAACGGCGAGUGAAGCGGGAAGAGCUCAAAUUUGAAAUCUUAAAGGGUUUCCCUUUACGAAUUGUAGUUUAAAGAAGUGUUUUCUGUUGAGGUUUUGGUAAAAGUUCUUUGGAAUAGGACAUCAUAGAGGGUGAGAAUCCCGUAUUUGACCUUUACUUUCAACUUUGUGAUACACUUUCAAAGAGUCGGAUUGUUUGGGAAUGCAGUCCAAAAUGGGUGGUAAAUUUCAUCUAAAGCUAAAUAUUGGCGAGAGACCGAUAGCGAACAAGUACCGUGAGGAAAGAUGAAAAGAACUUUGAAAAGAGAGUUAAACAGUACGUGAAAUUGUCAAAAGGGAAGCGUUUGACACCAGUGUUGUUUUUCUGAAAAUCAAUUAAAGAACUGUUUAUGCUAAGUUGUUUAGACUUUAUCAGCUAACUGUUUAGUUUUGAGCUUUUCUUUAAUGCACUUUUCAGUUAACAAGUCAACAUCAAUUUCUUUUGCUGUAAAAAAGCUUGAGGAAGGUGGCUUGAGAUUCGUCUUAAGUGUUUAUAGCCUCUUGCCUAUGCAGUCGGAGAGAUUGAGGUCUGCAGCGUAGAUCCUUCGGGGCUAAAUGCAUUUGUGCUAAGUUAUAGCAUUUUAUAGACAACUUGUUGACUAUGAUUUGUCUUGUAGCUUACUCGCUUAUGCUAUUUUACCUACGCUUAGGAUGUUGAGCGCAUGUCUCUCUCU